GACGAACCGUGCAAACGUUGUUCGGAAUCACUGGGCUUAAAGGGCGCGUAGGCGGGUGGCCAAGUCAGGGGUGAAAUCUUUCGGCUUAACCGGAAAAUUGCCUUUGAUACUGGUUGUCUCGAGGGAGGUAGGGGCAUGUGGAACUUCCGGUGGAGCGGUGAAAUGCGUUGAUAUCGGAAGGAACGCCGGUGGCGAAAGCGACGUGCUGGACCUCUUCUGACGCUGAGGCGCGAAAGCUAGGGGAGCGAACGGG
rnacentral:rRNA from 1 species